UACGGGGGGGGCAAGCGUUGUUCGGAAUUACUGGGCGUAAAGGGCUCGUAGGCGGCCAACUAAGUCAGACGUGAAAUCCCUCGGCUUAACCGGGGAACUGCAUCUGAUACUGGAUGGCUUGAGAUUGGGAGAGGGAUGCGGAAUUCCAGGUGUAGCGGUGAAAUGCGUAGAUAUCUGGAGGAACACCGGUGGCGAAGGCGGCAUCCUGGACCAACACUGACGCUGAGGCGCGAAAGCGUGGGGAGCAAACAGG
rnacentral:rRNA from 1 species